GACGAACGCUGGCGGCGUGCCUAAUACAUGCAAGUCGAGCGAAGUUUUUCUGGUGCUUGCACUAGAAAAACUUAGCGGCGAACGGGUGAGUAACACGUAAAGAACCUGCCUCAUAGACUGGGACAACUAUUGGAAACGAUAGCUAAUACCGGAUAACAGUAUUUCUCGCAUGAGAGAUAUUUAAAAGUUGGUUAUGCUAACACUAUGAGAUGGCUUUGCGGUGCAUUAGCUAGUUGGUGGGGUAAAGGCCUACCAAGGCGACGAUGCAUAGCCGACCUGAGAGGGUGAUCGGCCACACUGGGACUGAGACACGGCCCAGACUCCUACGGGAGGCAGCAGUAGGGAAUCUCCCGCAAUGGGCGAAAGCCUGACGGAGCAACGCCGCGUGAGUGAAGAAGGAUUUCGGUUCGUAAAGCUCUGUUGUUAGGGAAGAAUGGAUAUGUAGUAACUAUACAUAUAAGAGACGGUACCUAACCAGAAAGCCACGGCUAACUACGUGCCAGCAGCCGCGGUAAUACGUAGGUGGCAAGCGUUGUCCGGAAUUAUUGGGCGUAAAGCGCGCGCAGGUGGUUUAAUAAGUCUGAUGUGAAAGCCCACGGCUCAACCGUGGAGGGUCAUUGGAAACUGUUAAACUUGAGUGCAGGAGAGAAAAGUGGAAUUCCUAGUGUAGCGGUGAAAUGCGUAGAGAUUAGGAGGAACACCAGUGGCGAAGGCGGCUUUUUGGCCUGUAACUGACACUGAGGCGCGAAAGCGUGGGGAGCAAACAGG
rnacentral:rRNA from 1 species